rnacentral:rRNA from 1 species
GGACCAAGGAGUCUAGCGUGGUUUUGCGAGUACCUUGGGACAUGANUAAACCUGACCCCCAGGCGCAAUUACAAGCUGAAGGUUCGUCCUCGGAGCCCAAGGGCCGAUGGCCAACUGUGACCUUCUGUGCUAUUGCCUCGCGUUCUCCUGGACGUCUCUAUUCUUAUNGCCAAAAGAUGCUCACUAACAGCGUACACGCUGGGACCC